UGGCUCAGUUGGUAGAGCAUAGUGUUUGCAACGCCAGGGUUGUGGGUUCGAUUCCCAU
rnacentral:tRNA from 1 species